rnacentral:misc_RNA from 1 species
GAUGAAGAACGCAGCGAAAUGCGAUAAGUAAUGUGAAUUACAGAAUUCAGUGAAUCAUCGAAUCUUUGAACGCACCUUGCACCCUUUGGCAUUCCGAAGGGUAUGCUCGUUUGAGUGUCAUUGUACUCUCACACUCUCCGAUCCUAUGGAUUCGGGGAGCGGUGGACUUGGGUGUUGCUGCCUUUCCCUGUGGCUCACCUCAAAUGCGUCAGUGCACCUCUUGGUUGGACAUAGUACGGCGUGAUAAGUGUCUUCGCCGGCACCUCGCAAGAGGGUGGCCGAUCGGGAGCUCUGCGCUUUCAAACCGUCUUCGGACAAUUUCUGACAUCUUGACCUCAAAUCGAGUAGGACUACCCGCUGAACUUAAGCAUAUCAAUAAGCGGAGGA